GGUAGCUUAAAGUGCAUAUUGUAAAUGGUCUUGUGAUAUGUUUAACUGUGGUGGUUUGAUACAUUUGUUAUGGAUGACAUAUAUAGCUAAAGGUGUUACUUGAUAAAUGGAACAUUUGGUACCAUUUGGUGUAUUAUUGAUAGGUAAAUCAAAUGAUAUGUUUUUUUAUAUGUAACCUUAGUUUGCAGUUAGUGAACAUUUUGGCAAAAUUGAAUAUAUUAUUAUAUAUGUGUAGUUAUUGAGAUUGAGCUGCCC
rnacentral:lncRNA from 1 species